rnacentral:rRNA from 1 species
AUUGAACGCUGGCGGCAGGCUUAACACAUGCAAGUCGAGCGGAGAUGAGGUGCUUGCACCUUAUCUUAGCGGCGGACGGGUGAGUAAUGCUUAGGAAUCUGCCUAUUAGUGGGGGACAACAUUCCGAAAGGAAUGCUAAUACCGCAUACGUCCUACGGGAGAAAGCAGGGGAUCUUCGGACCUUGCGCUAAUAGAUGAGCCUAAGUCGGAUUAGCUAGUUGGUGGGGUAAAGGCCUACCAAGGCGACGAUCUGUAGCGGGUCGGAGAGGAUGAUCCGCCACACUGGGACUGAGGCACGGCCCAGACUCCUACGGGAGGCAGCAGUGGGGAAUAUUGGACAAUGGGGGGAACCCCGAUCCAGCCAUGCCGCGUGUGUGAAGAAGGCCUUAUGGUUGUAAAGCACUUUAAGCGAGGAGGGGGCUACUGAGACUAAUACUCUUGGAUAGUGGACGUUACUCGCAGAAUAAGCACCGGCUAACUCUGUGCCAGCCGCCGCAGUAAAAC